rfam:Myotis brandtii contig245396, whole genome shotgun sequence.
CAUGCACCAGUGGGGUCCCUUGGUCUGGCCUGCGCCCUCUUGCAAUCCUGAACCCCUUGGAGGAAUGUUCGCAGGCCAGGCCAAGGGACCCCACUGGUGCAGG